GUCUGAGAAAAAAAAAACAAAUACCUGAUAAAAGAACUAUAAGAACAAACAACAGCAGCUUUGCCAGUCACUAAACUGGACAAAUAAGUUUUUAAAAAAAACUCUACCUCUUGACAGAGUCCAAUGGUACUCCGCUUUGUUGUGGAUGAACAACACACAUCAACUGUAGUGGACGUUGUCAAGUAUAAUCGGAUAUACAUCUUGAUUAAAUGCCGAUACAGGAGCCUAAAUUGCUUUCGAAAAAUUGAAACCUCAAACCAGAACACAAAAUCCCUUUAAAAACUGAUCUCUCAAUAUGUAUACUUAUUUCAGACAAGCCCCUCGUUAGCUCUAUAUGAUCAGCUAUGGCUGAAAUGCAUAUUAAGUGGAAUGUUUAUUAACAUUCACAGCCCACUUAAUUUUCUUAAAGCACUUCUAAGAAUCUUCAGAGCUCCUAUGCCGCGAUUCCUCUAUUCGAUUGUCUAUUUGCAAUACUAUAAUUUCCAAUAUAAUUUUCAGAGUCUUUCGCUGAAUCGUCUGCUGGAUUUUCAAGUCCAUAUCCAAAUGUAUUAGAGCCCUCCAUAUCAGAAGACACAGUUUGCCAUGUUGAAUCACCAUACAUGGAGCCACUGCGAUAUAAAUCUCCAUAAGACCCCUCAUAAGCACCACCUGAUGCAGCAAAUGAAGUUGGGACACCACCUGCUGCAUUGCUUCUUGCAAGUCCUCCAGAUCCCAGCCCAUAACUUCUUCCCCCAUUCCUGAACCCAACAUUCCGACCACCAUAUCCAGAAGCACUACCAACUGGAGCAGAAACAGCCGAUGAGCCCCAAUUGGCACCAUUAUUCCCAAAGACCCCAUAACCACCAGUUCCGGAUCCCAAAAAUGAACCGGAGCUACCAGGACCUGGAGAACUGUUAAGUCCACCAUUUCCCCAUACAUUCCUGGUUGGUGAGCUAAGCAAAGAAUCACCUCUAUUGCUGCCUGUGUUAUAUCCAAUGGGUGUAGUGUAUCUGCUUGAGUUGCCAGUGAAAUACGGGUUCAGAGCCCGCCCAUAACCAAGAUUGUUGCUAAAAUUGGAAGCUCCUGCAAAGGUGGGGCUCAAAGCUGGGUCCAAAUUGACACCCAUUCCAUAAGCAGGAGAAGAAAACUGAGAGAAACUUGUACGUCCGCUGGCAACUGGACUAAAUCUACCAUCCAUCCUGACCCCAUAUCCU
rnacentral:misc_RNA from 1 species